rnacentral:rRNA from 1 species
AGUAACGCGUGGGCAACCUGCCCUGUACAGGGGGACAACAGCCGGAAACGGCUGCUAAUACCGCAUAAGCGCACAGCUUUGCAUGAAGCAGUGUGAAAAACUCCGGUGGUACAGGAUGGGCCCGCGUCUGAUUAGCUGGUUGGCGGGAUAGAAGCCCACCAAGGCGACGAUCAGUAGCCGGCCUGAGAGGGUGGACGGCCACAUUGGGACUGAGACACGGCCCAGACUCCUACGGGAGGCAGCAG